rnacentral:rRNA from 1 species
AACGAACGCUGGCGGCAGGCCUAACACAUGCAAGUCGAGCGAGGACUUCGGUCCUAGCGGCGGACGGGUGAGGAACGCGUGGGAACGUGCCCUUUGCUUCGGAAUAGCCCUGGGAAACUGGGAGUAAUACCGGAUGAGCCCUUUUGGGGAAAGAUUUAUCGGCGAAGGAUCGGCCCGCGUUGGAUUAGGUAGUUGGUGGGGUAAUGGCCUACCAAGCCGACGAUCCAUAGCUGGGUUGAGAGGAUGAUCAGCCACACUGGGACUGAGACACGGCCCAGACUCCUACGGGAGGCAGCAGUGGGGAAUCUUAGACAAUGGGGGAAACCCUGAUCUAGCCAUGCCGCGUGAGCGAUGAAGGCCUUAGGGUUGUAAAGCUCUUUCAGCUGGGAAGAUAAUGACGGUACCAGCAGAAGAAGCCCCGGCUAACUCCGUG